rnacentral:tRNA from 1 species
GCCUGGGUGGCUCAGUCGGUUAAGCGUCUGACUUUGGCUCAGGUCAUGAUCUUGCAGUUCGUGGGUUUGAGCCCCACAUUGGGUU